GGGCGAUUAGCUCAGUUGGAAGAGCGCUACCCUUACAAGGUAGAUGUCGUAGGUUCGAGCCCUACAUCGCCCA
rnacentral:tRNA from 1 species